UACAGAGGGGGCAAGCGUUGUUCGGAAUUACUGGGCGUAAAGGGCGCGUAGGCGGCCUGUUAAGUCGAACGUGAAAUCCCCGGGCUCAACCCGGGAACUGCGUCCGAUACUGGCAGGCUUGAAUUCGGGGAGAGGGAUGUGGAAUUCCAGGUGUAGCGGUGAAAUGCGUAGAUAUCUGGAGGAACACCGGUGGCGAAGGCGGCAUCCUGGACCGAUAUUGACGCUGAUGCGCGAAAGCCAGGGGAGCAAACGGG
rnacentral:rRNA from 1 species